rnacentral:rRNA from 1 species
AUGCCGUCGCCGGAGCCCGGAAGCAUCGCGACCCGGUGGCGCGAGCUGCAGGGCGCGGGGUCGUGGGAGGGGCUGCUGGACCCGCUGGACCGGGACCUGCGCGCCUCCAUCAUCGCCUACGGCGAGCUGGCGGAGGCCACCUACGACGGAUUCAACUCGCAGCGCCGCUCGCCCCACGCUGGCGCGUGCUUCUACGGCCAUGACGACCUGCUCGCCGCCGCCGGCGUGGUCCACGCUGGCCACUACGCCGUCACCAAGUUCAUCUAUGCGACAGGCGGGUUCUUCCUGGCGCCGACGACGGGGACGUCAGUGCCCGAUGCCUUCUUCGUGCUGCCGCUACCGUCGCUGCUGGAGGAGCCCUGGUGCCGGGAGUCCAACUGGAUGGGGUACGUGGCCGUGGCCACCGACGAGGGCGUGGCGGCGCUCGGCCGGCGCGACAUCGUCGUCGCCUGGCGCGGUACCGUGGAGAGCCUCGAGUGGGUCAACGACCUGGACUUCACGCCGGCGUGGGCCGCGCCCGUGCUCGGCUCAGCUGCUGGUGAUUUUGAUUCCGCCGUGGUGCACCACGGGUUCCUGUCGGUGUACACGUCCAGCGACGAGGACUCCAAGUUCAACCAGCAGAGCGCCAGGGAUCAGGUCAUGGAGGAGGUGCGGAGGCUGAUGGAGGCGCACAAGGAGGAGGUGACCAGCAUCACCGUCACGGGCCACAGCCUCGGUGCGUCGCUGGCGACCCUCAACGCAGUCGACAUGGUCUCCCACGGCGUUAACGUGCCGCCCUCCUCGCCACAGCAGCAGCCAUGCCCGGUGACGGCGAUCCUCUUCGCGAGCCCGCACGUAGGCGACGACAGCUUCAAAUCGGCCUUUGCUUCGUUCCCGGACCUUCGUGCGCUUCAUGUGAGGAACGCCGGCGACGUGGUGCCUCUAUACCCGCCGAUUGGGUACGUGGAUGCGGCAACAGCUGUGCUGCCCGUGGACACUGGCCGGUCACCGUACUUGAAGCAGCCGGGCACCGUGCAGACGCGCCACAACCUCGAGUGCUACCUGCACGGCGUUGCCGGGUUCCAGGGUGCUGGCGGUGGGUUCAAGCUUGAGGUGGACCGCGAUGUGGCCCUGGUGAACAAGGGUGCUGACGCGCUCAAGGAUAAGUACCCAGUGCCGCCCAACUGGCAUGUCAUCAACAACAAGUCCAUGGUGAGGGACUCCGAUGGCCACUGGAAGCUCAGAGACUUCGAGGAGACCUGA